rnacentral:misc_RNA from 1 species
AGGAUGAAAGUGUUGAGGACUUUGGUAAGAAAUCUAAUGAAGAUCUCUAAGUUAUGACUAUGAAUUUGAAUGAUAAAAACUCUUGAAUGUUUGAUGAUUUCUGAAGGAUUUAAAUUUUAUGUAAAGGAUCAUAUUUUUCUUUGCAUAUUAUAUUACUAGUUAAUUUUUUAAUAAUUUUGAGCUUCCUCCAAUGAAGCGAGCUUU